UUUUUGUUGGUAUAAUUAAGUUAUACUCAGUUCAGCCUAAUGAACUUUCUAGGAUAAUACUUAAAUAAAAAUGACAAGAUAAUAGUGAAUUUAAAAAUUUAAACAUUAGGAAAUCACACAGAGAAAGGCGAGAUAGCUGUAUAGGAAAUGAAACACAGAAUUCUGGUACUGUCAUUAAAAGAUACCAUUUAAGCGUAUGCUUUCUAGUAACCAAGGCCAGAAGAAGAUUGAAAGGGAUUUCGUAACCUCUAUCCUCUGUUAAAAGGAAGCUUGUCAGUUACUCAGAAGAGACAAAAAGUUAAGUUUUCUCAGAAAACUUCGAGUCAUGUUUUUUAAAAAAAAAAAAAGUUGUUUUGGGAUCUGGACUUUUGUUAGAAAAGUCUCAUUUUGUUUGCUUUGUUUCUAUUUUGUUUUUCCCAUCCAUUACUCGAUGUGGUAGUGACUUUAACAAAAUGCCAUGAUAACGUUUUCAUGGCUUGCCUAAUGCCUAAUGAUUAGAGAAGAAGAGAUAGAAACCAGCUGGUUUCACCUUCCGCCAGGCUAAGACUGAAGCGAUGUAUCUUAUCAGACAAUUGAAACCACUUGCUCCAGCUCUGACCCUGUGCUCCAAAGGUCAAGGAGGUAAUGUGCAAAUUCGGGAUGCUUCUGAAAGUCUUUUAAAAGACUUCUGGGUGGUAAAGCCUUGGCUGAAAUGACUUCUUCAUGUUCUCUGGAAACUCAAAGCCAGUAUUUUUGCACAGUCUGGGCAGAAGUGGUUGGAUUUGACCUUGUUACUUCAAAGCGUCCAAUGCACUCUUAAAGAUAAAGGAAAACAUCGCUGCCUCAAAACAAAUGGACCGCCGGCUCCAAGCAAUCAUUUGAAGUGUCUGGCAUGGAAAAGUGCAAGCUGCAUGAGUACAAGGAUGACAGAAGCUCACAAAUCUCAGCAUUGUAGAGUGGCUGCUUGUCCCAGGGUGUCACCUGACCCCAAGGACAAGUCCCUGAGUACCUCCUAGGAAGAGAACCUAGCCAAGCACACCAAGACAUCUGGUGUGUUGGGAGGUGAGACCCUGAUGUUGCCUUGAGACCUCUGAGCAUGACAUCAAGUACUACCCCUCUCUCCUGUGAUGUCUUCCCAUUCUUGGUGACUCUUGCCUUACUACCGAUUCUGCACGCUGACUUGGCACCCUUGCUCCGUUUGCUGAUACUCAUCAUUGCUCUUUUAAACUACUCUCCACGAUACUUGAAUGCAUCCUGAUAAGCAUUAUCCUGUUCUACCCAACUCAUCUCCCACUUGCUGAAGGUGGUCUUAGGCUACAGAC